rnacentral:rRNA from 1 species
UAAUCCCGACUUCGGAAGGGAUGUAUUUAUUAGAUUAAAAACCAAUGCCCUUCGGGGCUCUCUGGUGAUUCAUAAUAACUUCUCGAAUCGCACGGCCUUGCGCCGGCGAUGGUUCAUUCAAAUUUCUGCCCUAUCAACUUUCGACGGCUGGGUCUUGGCCAGCCAUGGUGACAACGGGUAACGGAGGGUUAGGGCUCGACCCCGGAGAAGGAGCCUGAGAAACGGCUACUACAUCCAAGGAAGGCAGCAGGCGCGCAAAUUACCCAAUCCCGACUCGGGGAGGUAGUGACAAUAAAUACUGAUACAGGGCUCUUUUGGGUCUUGUAAUUGGAAUGAGUACAAUUUAAAUCCCUUAACGAGGAACAAUUGGAGGGCAAGUCUGGUAAUCGAAUCCCGCGGCCGCC